AGUGAACGCUGGCGGUAGGCCUAACACAUGCAAGUCGAACGGCAGCACAGUAAGAGCUUGCUCUUACGGGUGGCGAGUGGCGGACGGGUGAGGAAUACAUCGGAAUCUACUUUUUCGUGGGGGAUAACGUAGGGAAACUUACACUAAUACCGCAUACGACCUACGGGUGAAAUCAGGGGAUCUUCGGACCUUGCGCGAUUGAAUGAGCCGAUGUCGGAUUAGCUAGUUGGCGGGGUAAAGGCCCACCAAGGCGACGAUCCGUAGCUGGUCUGAGAGGAUGAUCAGCCACACUGGAACUGAGACACGGUCCAGACUCCUACGGGAGGCAGCAGUGGGGAAUAUUGGACAAAGGGCGCAAGCCUGAUCCAGCCAUACCGCGUGGGUGAAGAAGGCCUUCGGGUUGUAAAGCCCUUUUGUUGGGAAAGAAAAGCAGCAGGUUAAUACCCCGCUGUUCUGACGGUACCCAAAGAAUAAGCACCGGCUAACUUCGUG
rnacentral:rRNA from 1 species